AACAGUGACCAUCCAAUGUCGCCAUCUUCCUCUCUAGCUUGGGACAGUAGUCCCGGUGACGCCAGCCUGUGCCCACUACACCUGCCCUCCUCACCUCCCACAAACAUCCGUCAUAAACAAGGCUAAAUUCUCUCCUCUAAUUGUGCCCUCCAGAUCGUCGACGUGAUGGUGGUGCCGCUGACCACCGGGGAGACCAUCACUGUGAUAAUCAUAGCACUGGUGGGCGUUCUUCUCACUAUCGGCUGCUACCUCUAUUGGCGCUUACGAAAGAGUGUGCCGACCAACAGUUUCAACUCCAGUUUCUUCAAGUUUGAGAGCUCGGUCUUGAGGUAGACGGGUGAUGUAUGCUACAUCUUGGAGAUGAAAGUCCAUCAGCGGUUUGCAACUGAACGCCGUCAUCUUAAAGAGUACGCAAAGACAUGAGGUCAUCUUCUGAGUGACUUUGAUCACUGUGGGGUCUCCAGAUCAAAUGAAUUUCGGGAAACUCCACACAUUAACUAGAGUGUAUCAGACUUGAUGAUUACCUUGAACCUUUCAACGUCAAAGUUGUCAGUAAAUAUCAAUAUAAUAUGUUAAUUUAAAUUGUAUCAUUCCUCAGCGUGUGUUUUUUUUUCUCUCUGAAUAAGAUGCCUUAAAUGUUGAUAUAAUAUACAUUUAGAAGGUGUGUGUAUAGGAGGAUAAUGGGUUCGUUUGGAAAUAUUACGCUCGUAUCUAUAUAUUUUAUUUAUGUAUAAAUUUUAAUCUGUAAUUUUUUUCAAUUUCAGUUAAAUUUCAGUUAAUUGAAUUUUUUUCUGUUAAUUUCAGUUAAUUGAUUUUUUUUCUGUAAGUAGUUUAUAUUAUGUUUUUAGAGAAAUAUUGAUGUGCAUACUGUAGUAAACAUGAUAACAUUAUGAAUAAUAACAAUGAUAACAUUAUGAAUAAUAACAAUGAUAACAUUAUGAAUAAUAACAAUAAUUAUAUAAAUGGAUGAACAAUUAUAAGUAUACAGAUAAAUAUUACUUGAUACCUCGUGCAAUAAAUAAAAUUAUGGAUAAAUAGAAAUCUGGUUAAAAUAAAUAAUAAAGCCAUCUGGUCAAGAACUUAUGUU